CCCAGUUGUCAAGACAACAGUUCAUAAUUGUACCAGCUCUUUUCAUUGCAGCUAGACAUUUCAUAAAUAGAUAAUUCUCUAAUUGAUCCAACCAAUCCUACGUUGCAUACCCUGCCAAACUAGCAGAGACUCUUUAGUGCAGUCCUGAUUUUUGUAUUAAUGAAUUGAGAAGAUGACAUCAGGCUCUUAGUGAGAAUAGGAAGAAGGUGGAGUCGGGGUGGAGCUUGAGAAGGCAAACUGUGCGACAUCAACAGCCACCAAGUGAAGGUGCUUUGCACUUCAGAGAAGAAGGCAUACUUGCUCAACUGUUCCCUUGUACCAGACAAUGAACUGGGGAUAUAGUGACACUGAAAUCACACCUGUAAAGUGUUUGGAGAUCUUUGGGAGCAAGGUUGCAGAAAACUGAGAAAUAUUAGGUUAUGCUUACUUAUCCAUAAUUUAUGAAAUGUUUUUUGACCUUCAACAGACCUGCCAGCAAAAAUUUAACGGUGUUAUCAGUGGUUUCACACACCUUUUUGUAGGAAGACCCAAAGUUCAUAAAAAAAAGGAGGGGGAGGGGGUUGGAGAAAAUCACCAGAACUACAACACAACUGCAACAUCAUCUGUACUAACCUAAACCAUCAUGCACAUGCCCUUCAUACCUUAGUCCUCAUUAGAGACAUGGGUCAUAAUUUAAAACUAUCAGCUACUGUGAUUACCAGAUAUUUUGAAUUAAAACUAUAUUCAGGUUGAUUUUCAGAUCCUGUGUUAUCAGGUACUUCCUGUGUUGAAAUAGCUGUUUGGGCAGGCUUUCAGAAACAAAGCAUUGUAGGGCAAUAUGUAGAGCUCUUCUUUCUGAGAAAAACAGAGAGAGGCACUCAAGCUUCACAAGGUAGAAUGGAACUGACUUAUCUGGACAUCCUUAGUUUUGACAUCCUAGAUGUAAUUAGAGUCAAACAUGAUGAAUCACCUAAAGAAGCACUGGAGAAUUUGGCUCAAAUUGGUUCUUUGAAGAAAGUAUAAAUAAAGGUUUAUGCACCAUUUCUUUGAACAGUUAAGAGAUCCUCCUUUCAGUUUUGCCAUGCUAUCAGAGGCACAAAGGCAUGGCCUUUUUCAGGACAGAACACAGCAAUUUUAUUUCCCAGGAAUGGGCACUAAGCACAGUGAUCACCCUUGAGAACCAGGCUGAAGGCCCCAAACUAUGAUGAUGCCUUUGCAGAACAUGACUCUACAUAUAGAUCUCUGAGACCUACAUGAAUAUGCAACCAGAUACCAUCAGAUAUCUGAUCUGUCUUGGUUGAAAAGGAACAUUCCUGCAAAUGUAUGCAGAAAUGUGUAGCUACUCCACAAAGAACUGCUUCUCUGCUUAAGUCCUGCCUUGAAAGUUCUCUUUACUUGUGUAUGAAUUAAGCACAACACUGGUUAUUCAAUGUGGACUAUGAAGUCAAUGCUCAAAACCAAGACAAACAGUGCAGGAAUAGGAUGAAAUAUUUGCUGAAGCACUUUUGUCAGCCAAACCCAAGUAGUAUACAUUACUGAUUUACCCCACAAGGGAAUAACCAUUGUGUGUUUGAGAUCAACACAGAAAAACAAACAAAAAAACAGUAAUAAGAAUUUUUCUACACUAAAGUUAGUUCAUUGCUAUGUAAUUUUCUAACCAAAAUGACAUCCACAACCUUCCAAAAUAAGUAUGUCUCCAAAAUAUCUUCUCUCCUGAAAUCUUAAUGUGCAUCUAGCAUUUCUCUAAACUCUGGUGCUGAAAGACAGAAGAGAACAUAGCUGUCAUUUGAGGGUUCAUUCCCUUCAUCUGCAUCCUUUCUCAUAAUGAGCUGCAUUGGCAGCUUUGGUUAACUUGACUUCUCCUUCCUUAGUCCGUGGGAAAUGUAAACUUGGCCAAUGUUUUGCUGAGUGUGGUUUGUUCCCUCUUCCUUUUCCAUGAGAGCUCAACUUUCCUGGCUGACAUGUUAAAUAAGCUAGUGGGGCCUGUGUUAGUCCCUCACAAAUCUGCAUGGGAGGGAAGAGAAGAGACAAGAAGGUAAUGGUAAACUAGCCAGAAAUGCUGCCAUUCAUGGCUAUAGAUCCACAGAGCAAGUGGCUUAUGCGAUGGAUGAUUCUGUGUUUCCACAUGCAGGUGAUUUGGUAGCACAUGACUAAACCCUGAGUGCAGACACAUGGCUCCAGAGACAUGUACUCAGUUUAUGGAGUGAAGAAAAAAAGCAGAAUACAUAUUUCAGAAUAUAUUAGAUAUUUCUGAAAUACUUGAUGGUACAUAUACUGUGUGUUUAGUACAUGCAUUAUGCCUCGAAGUAUUCAUGCAUGGAUAUUUACUUUUAUUAUUUAUAGACGAGUUACACCACCAAGCCCACCUCCAGGCACCAAGAAUAAACCUAUAUUUCACUGCUUUUUUUAUAACCAAUAGUAAAUCUUCUAGAUGGUGUGACUACUGUGAAAGGUAUCUGACCUUGAGCAAGAAGAAAACGCCAUGGGAAGAUUUCUGUCUCAGUAAGUGUCAAGGUGUGCCUGAAAAUGGUUGCUUCUUUGCAGUGAGAGACAGUUUAUAUCUACCUUUGAUUCCUUAUUAAAAUGAAAUAAUAUUCAUGCUUGGCCCAAAAAUCUCAAAGCCAAAAAUACUUUAUUUCACAGUGACUGAACAAGGUGUGGGGCUGGCAGUUUUUGGAAAAGGCUUCAUUGCAGUUCUCCAAGAAAUGUACACAUCAGUGUUAAACAGCCACAUCCGACUAAAAGACCAACAUCAGGAAGAACACCAGCACUGCAUUCUGCAGCCUGCACCACACCAUAUGCUUGCGCUGCCCAAAAAUGUUCCACAUGGCUUGCUUUCCCUCAUGCCAAUGAUGUUUUAAAGAGUCAGAAGGCUCUGCCAGUAAAAGCCAGUUAGCACUAUCAGAGACUAACAGAUGUUAAAGUUGGGAAAAAUUGCUACAAUCACCUAUGAUAUUCAGCACACACAAAACAAUGCAUUUUCACAAGGCUUUCUGUAUGAUGUCAACAUAUAAUUGCAAAAACUAGAGAGACACAAAUGUUUUUCAAGUAAUUAGCACCUGGAAUGAUACCUCUCUACAGUAGUCAGAGGCUGUUCCUGAACAGUUAUGUAUAAUAGGUCUUCUUUAGGCUCUGAAAGGCAAAUAAAUGUCAUGUCCAUGUGCCUGAAUCUUCUUCCUGCCAAAACAGGGUGCCCACAUGACAGAUACUGCUCCCAAAAGACAGCCUCCUGAACCUGUGCAUUGUCUGAGGGUGAUGGUGGGCCACAGAGUGUGAGCAGCAUGGACAAUACUGCUGACAAUCCCUGACCUGUAUCAGCUGCUUUUGCAAUGCAAAAAAACACAAGACAUACAGGACUUGUAUAAUAUAUCUGGAAGUUAGUUGCAGAAUUUGCAUCCAAUUACAUCCGUCUUGAUCCUCAGACACAGAAGCCAAGAACACCCUUAAUUUAAUAUAUAACCUUUGCCCUCUUUAGGGUCUUUUUUCCUUCCUAGUGUUUAUUUCCUUGAACAUUUUUCCUUGGACCUUAUGUGGGCUGAACUCACAUGUAUUGCACUUUUUAUGUGGCUAUGGUUCAUAUAUGUUUAUAUGCUCUGUAUUUCCACCAGACAAUAAUAGCUAGUGGCAAUACAGAAAAUGUAUGUGCUAAGUGCUGACCUGUGCUGCAGCCCAGAUAUCUUACAAACACGAGCGCAAUGAGAUGGACUAUGCCACACUAGGUACACAAUAAAAAGAAUGUUUUUUUUUACAAACUUUAUAGUAUAGCUUUUUCAUAGGAACAGUCAGCAUAAAUGGGAGUUUUUGACAAAUUAUGUCUAGGCUAUAUGUUACGCAAAGAAAACUCAAAAAAGUUAUAGCUUUGAGAAUAUAAGAACAUAAAAUUUGCUAAGCAUCAGGCUAAGUAUCCAUGUAGUCCAGGACAUCUCAUCUGAAAAUAACUAGACAGGGACUUCCAAAAAUAUCCAUGAGCAAGGAAUGGGCAGAGUGACAAUGGCUUUGGAACCUUUUCCUUGUCUUGUAACUCAUGAUUGGGGGAUUUCCUGACCAGCAUGCAGUGUGUACAUCACUAUAGUUAAUAGACCCCACAGUUCUUAAUUUCACAAAACUAUUAGACAUUUUAUGGAUUUAUUAGACAUUUGGUCUUCACAACAUCCUAUGGCAAUGAGUUCCCUGACUUAAUUAUACACAUUAAAUAAAAGAGUAUUUAGUUUGGUCUUUUAAAUCUCUACUUGAUCUCUUCACUUCUUUUGGUAGGAAUCAUGGUCAGCAAUUGUUCUGUAUUCCCUUUCAUCGUGCCAUUUAUGACAUGGAAUACCCUCUUCCUCUGCAAUCUCCCUUUUCUUACUCUGUCCCAUCUCUCUUACAUGAAAUUCUUCCAUUCCUAUGGUCAUGAUCUUCACCUUGAUUGUAACACUUCUUGUUCUGUUUUAGCCUUUUUGGGGCAGGGCUGCACAAACAGUAGGUGAAAUAAUGACAGGUUUCUACAGUGACAUAAAAAUAAUUUUUUGAUGGUUGUGAUAAAGGGCAAACCACCGAUUUUGGCCACUGUGGGGCAAAUAAGAACUGUUUCUACAGAUAGAUAUACUUGUGCUAAUUUCUCCUUCCAAAAUAUCAGUAAGUAAACCAACUUAUUACAAAGAAAAAUACACAUCUGUUUAAAAAAAAAAAAUAGCCAUCAAAAGCAAUAUACUAUUUUACAGUGAAAGCAUAGGAAAAGUAGUGAUAUAAAACCUUAAACAUUCCUAAGAUCACACAGCUUCAUGUUCAUUUCUCAAAAUUUCCAUAAGAGCAACACAGACUUCAAGGCCAAAUCUUUACAUUCAUAUUCCAUCAGCUUCAAUAACAUGUUUAGCAGUAAAUUCAUGAGAGUUGCAAGUGUUCAACCUCUGGAAAAUUUUUGGCCACUUUUAGAAUUUAACCCUGAAAACAGUAAAGCUAGUCAAUAAGUCACUUUAAAGCAGGUUUUCAAGCAUCUAAUGGCAACCACAUGGGCCUAUGUACUAACAUCAGUUCAUCGUUUCUGUAUCCCACUGUUCAGUAAUAGCAGCUGAACCCUGAAACUGUGAUGUAAAUGUCAAACCUUAAUGCUCUCAUUCAGUCAUAGAGAAUCUUCAAUAAUCUGAGCUUUCCAAGAAAUCAAAAUACAGGUCAGCAAGGGGAUAUAUUCUUCCUAGUAGCCAUAGAGGGUAUUUUACAUAUAAUAACCAGGAACAAAAAGCACGGUACAAGUAAACUGAGUCCAAACACAUCCCCAUGACUUCAAACUCCAACAGAGCUUUACUGUUGUGCUUACUGUGACAUCACAGGAGUUUUUGGAUGUAUGACCUUACUUGUAUAUAUAGUUCACGGCUAUCUGUGCUGUUCUCUUCCUUUCUCUUUAUCCCCAAUGCUAAGAUUAGCUUUUAACUAUAAAAUGAAUUGUUUUGAUUUAUGCCAAGAGGUUAGUUAGGGAAGUUAGAUACUAAAUUGUUCAGUGGAAUCUUUAUCCUUUGAUUGUGUAGUUGGUUGAGCAAAAGCAUUAUGAUUCAUUCUACUCCAAUUUAACUUCUCUUUGCAGCUGACCUUUUCUUAUGCUUUGUAUCCCCAAGAAAACAAAAAAAUGCAGUGAUUCUUGAUAAUCGUGGUAUUUCAAACUAUAUGUUUUAAGCUUUUGGUUUAGCAUACAUAAAACCUAGAACAAAAGUCAGGCAAAUAUAGAGAGGCUUGGCAUUCUUUUUCUGAAAUCCAGUGUUAAAAUUAUUUUACUGCCACUGCAAAUUAAUUUGAUCAUUUUUGUAAUAAAGAAACCUGUACUGUAUUCUGAAACUUCAUUUAACUUGAUUUUGUAACUUGAAAUGUAGUUGUAUCUUAAUAUUAGGCCUGAACCUAUCCCCUUGAGAAUGAUGCCUUAACUGCCUUGCUUCUGUAUUUGAGUUCUCUUUUUAACUUGUAUCAUAUGCUUUCAGUUUUGCUUUAUGCACUUCUACUGUUAUGUACUGUCAAGCAAAUAAGAAUAAAAAGGGCAUAGAUACCUUCUUACUCUGCCUUUUAUAUUCUCUGCACUGCCUAAUUGUUAUAACCAGUGCAACUGGCAUAAGCUUUUGCAAAUUAUCCGAAGUUCCAAAUAUAAACACACUCUGAAAACCAGUCCUCAUGCAGGGUAAACUUUAAUGCUUUACAUUCUUCUUUUCAUAGUUAAGAAUCUGGACCAAUAUCUGGAGCUCUAAACAUAUCUUUGAACUUUUGUUGGUUUCGAAAAAAGUCCCCUGAAUUUGAGGUUUAGAUCAGUUUUUAACAUCUGUUUUUAAAUUUAAAUCAGCCCUUAAACUUUAAAAUGUGUGUGUGCAAGAGAGACAAAGAAAGGGAGAAUGAGAAAAUGCAUGCAAAAGAGGGUCUGGUUUGGCUGGAAUUUCAUAUGCUGUUGCUAGAAGAGUUUUUGUUGUUGUUGUUGGUUUUUUUUUUUUUCAGAAAAACAGUCAGUGAAAUUACCCACAUUAUAAACUUUUCUGAACGUACAGUACAUUGGAGUAAAUGUUAUCUUUAUUCAUAACCCCGGUAUGGUGUUAUGCAGUGCACAAUAGAUUUGGGCUGAUAUUUUUCCUUUCCAAAUACUGUAUUCUCAAAUAACCAAUAUCUGUCCAGCCAUCAUGGUACCUACUGUGCAAUAGUUUGAAAAGGCAAGUUUCCAUGCGUGGUUCCAAAUGCAGGUUAAAACAACCAAAAAUUCCACUUAAACUUGAGUACUUAAUUCCCUUGAAUGUGGAUAUCUCUUAGGUUUCCCCUGUAUGACCAUAACAGUAUGGAGAGGUGAGGGCAAAGGGCACUGAGUUUCCAUACAUCAUUUUUAUUAUUCUCUGUUCCUCUUGCCCCUCAGUCCCUUGCAAAUAGAUGCCUAUUUUCCCCAUCCCUGGCCUCCUUUGUCUUAUGCAUCUGAAGUAAAAAGUAAAAGUAAAAAGUAAAAAGUACAUCCACUGUACAAUUUAGGGUAGGUUCUACAUCUAUGUUGCUCAGGCAAAGAGUAGGAGGAUGUAGACGGAUAGAGAAACUACAUGCCUUGGUGAGGCAAUAAAGUCUUUCCUGUAUUGGCCUCAUGUGAUAAAAAGAUGUGGCUACAGGAGGAUUAGAGGUGGAAUGAACAUUUGCAUUUGUGUGCACUUAUGUAGAUUAUCUGGUGAAGGAAUAAAUGCUGUAUUGAGCACUGGAUAUAUAGAAUUUAAGUGUGGCCUCUAUAUGUGUUCUUUCCAGCUUACCCUGUUGUUUUCCAGAGCAUUUGUAAAUUAUGUUCACAGUGCUCUUCCAGAAAAAAACAAAACAAAACAAAACAAAAAAACAAAAACAAAACCACAAAAAAACACACCCCCCAAAAAACAAAAACAAAACAAAACAAAAACAUAAAAUGUGGAAAGACAUAUUUUUCACUUAAAAAAAAAAAAAAUAACCAAAGCAGGAACGACUUUGUGUUUCUUUUGCUCAGAAGAACUGAUAGUAGUAGAAUAAUCAAUGAGGGCAUUGGCAGCAAGAGCGGUUCAGAUCAGGUGUGACAGCUGGCUCAGUGCAUUUCUCACCGCAUGACUUAUGAGUCCCAGGAACAUUCCCAUAGAGUUCCCCUACACUGAGUGUUGUGAGCAGUUCUGAGAACAUGACUUUGUUCUAUUAAACUAGGAAAUGAGUGAGGGGGAUCCUGCCUGCCUUUGCUACGUGUGACUCUCUUAGUUCCUUUCUCUUUGUCUGACACACCUUAGCCUCCUCCUUGAGCAGUUAGGUCCAGGAUUUUUCUGUCUACCUUAGUUUCCAUCAGAGCCCUGGUACAGCAAGUGGUAUUGCAUCAAUAAGCACUUUGGUGCAAAACUACUCAAUCAUUGGAAGGGAUAUGUGGUGGUGAAGAUAUUCUAGCUUUUACAUUUUUUAUCACACUACGGCUAUUUUUUCUUUCUUUUCCAUUCUUAUUAUUAACCUUUUUACAGAAAAUUGGCUUACCAAGAAUUUAUGAAUUAGCAAGUCUAUUAUAAUGAUGAAUGGUAAUUACCAUUUAAAUCCUGAGUCAUUCAUCAGCUUGUUCACCAUAUGUCAGGUGAUACAAGAGUGCAUGAAUACUUGUCUGGUGAGUAUUUCUCAACUGAUUGUUAUAUUUGCCUGAACUUUGGACCCGUAUGCCAAAUACUAGGUGAAAAAAACUAAAAUGAUAGAAAAAAAAAUUACAGGUAAUAUAAGGAGAACAGGAGUGACAGCACAAUAAGAGGCAAUGCUGGUAGCAAUACAAAUUAACAUUAGUAUUAGACAAUUAUUAGCUUUUUUUUUUAAUUUAUGAAGAACAAACAUGGCUUUGAGCUUUUCUGGAGACACACAGAAAACUUUGUUAUGACCAAUGAAAUUCUUAUAUAAGACUCCUGGGUAGGGAAUUAUUUUUACAAAGAAGAAGUCAUGUUUGGGAAAGAGCUUUCCAAACAGCCCAGAUAGCCAGGUCUAGCCUGCAGACACUUGGGAAUUUCUGCUCUCAUCAGAUGUCUCUUUAGAAGUGUGAAGGGAGGUAGUGGCUCCUGCCAGGAUCCCAGAGAAUGGGUGUCUAUAUGGCUCAACCACUAUUUCAUUUGAUCUUACCAGUCUCCUUUCUUGAUGGUCUCAAAUGACUGGGAAAAGAAUGGAAAGGGCACAACAGCUGAGCUGUCACUCAGCCUCCUCCAAAUCCAGCCUGGGUUCUGCUAAUGGGGUAGUGUGGGGACAAUUUCACUUCAUCUGUCAGUGCCAGAUAUACCAGGGAUAUAAAUGCAAGAUUUCUGUCUCCAGAGUUCUCAGUCCACCUUCUCACAAAGCACAAAACAAUACCAAGGGAUCACCAGGGUGCUCCACAAAAAAUAAUUUUUUUAGAUAUGAGUAAAAUUAUUUUAACAGGAGUGGGUGCACAUUAUCUGCCAAGUGAUAAAGAUUCUGACGAUGAAGUUAACAUUAAUUAUUAUAACUUUGACUAUGUCUUUUCAUUUUGACGUACUGUGUCUCUCUUAGGUUUAACAGCUCAUAAACUGAAGCCAACUUUCUGAAUGAUCAUUUAAUUCUUUAAAUGUAACCAUAGACUAGGAAGAGAAUACUAAGAUAUCAAUCCUGGCAGCAGGCAGCAAAUGCUAGACCCAGGAGCUUAAUGGUGCUGAGCUGCAUGGAACAUAGCAAGUGUGCUAUCCUAACAAAAUACAGUCUGUCUCUGUGAGGGUUGGGAAUGUUCUCUCGCUAUAAGCAUCUGAACACAGGCGAAUAUAAAGUAACAGUUAAACUGAGUAAUGUUGCAUAGCAAAACUGUGGGGAUCUUGCUCAGUUUAUCUAGCUGGGAAAAAAAAAUUCUAAGAAUAUUGUUUUAAUCAAAGGUCUGAUGAUCUAUCAGUACCCAGUUUUCUUCAUAGUGCUGAGGUUACGGUUCUGCUUUUUUUUUUGUUAUUGCCUCCAUUUCUGAAAAAGAAAAUAAGUUCUGUAUUUCUGUUCCAAAACUAUGCAUGUGAAGAAAAAGGCUGUUGAAGUUUGGAAAAGAAAGAACGAACCAUGGAAUUUCCCGUUGGAUACUCUCAACUUUGGAUCAAACCAAGCCCAUGACUAACAGAUGAAAAUCUUUCAAACUUUCAGCUCCCUACACAAAUUUGGAAAUGUGAAUCCAGAGGUAGAACUCACUGGCAGCCUGUAUCUUACAGUGAGUGGCUUUGUGUACUGCAUCUGAAUUUAAGCAGAGUCAGGUUCUGUAUGUUAAAAUUAGAAAUCCUUUGUUCCUUUACUAAUGGACUCAAUUAGAUAUUAUAUUUUUUAAAAAAACGGUAUUCUGUGUAAAUGAUAAGAUGCUCUUGUUUCAGACGCUCUUAAAAAUUAAUAGAAGGACAUCAGAUGGAGCAUAUGGAAGAAGGCUAGUAACAAAAUUAAUUUGCAACCUAAAAGAAAGGAUUAUGAAGGAGGGAACAUGGCAGUUCUGAAUAAAAAAAAAAUCACAAAAAAAAAAGCCAUGCACCCCUAGGAAAAGGGUUAGGAUUUGUGGCCAUCAGCUUCUGCAGUAGACUUGCAGAAUAAGCUGUUACUCUGACAGAAGGAAAGAUAUCAGAAUCAUUCUCUAAACUCUUUUGUGUUCUGUAAAAUGUAAGCAGUCUAUAAAAUAGCACAUUUUUUUUGGUGGCUCAUAAGUCAUCACCAAUGGUUGUGGAUGUCUGUAAAAACUAUCACCUUACAUAAUGAGCUACAAAUCUGGUAAAGAUAACACUUUUGUUUCUGAUUGAAGGAAAACAUAUUGUGGUGAUCAGGUGAGUGUUCUUUCAAGGAAAAUGCCAACAAAAAGUCCUGUAUGGUGGCAGAUGCUGUAACCCUGGAUCAGCAAAAAGAGCAAAGAUUCCCAUUGACGCCUCCCACCAGAGGCCCCAAUAUUCCUACGACCGCCUCUGUAUGUCAGCAUGUGAAGCUGAUCUUUCCCAGCUGAUGCUGGGUGAAAUUUCUUGGAAGCAGCUGGGGUGGAGAUGUGCCAGACAACCUUAAAAAAUAAAUCAGUUACAAGUGAACCAGGGCAACCCCCAAGGCCCAGAGGUAGGGCGGGUGUUUUGCUACAUGCAUUACUAAUUAACUGUGAAAAGUUUUGAACGAUUCCAAAAUUUUUUGUUAGUACCAGCUACCUUUCAUAAAAAAGGCCAUAAAAAGAAGGUAGAAAACAUGGUUCCAGUAACUGAAAUUAGGCAUACCAGAGUUUGGGGGAAAAAACCCAGCCCACAACCAAACCCAUUUUAGUUUUUAUUUUAUUUUUAAGUUAAUGUGAUUCUUCAUGUCAGACACAGUGUACCUUAUCGUAACUCAUCUGACAUAACCCAGAGUGAUGCAACAUUUUUAUAAAGCUGAUUUCCUUUUUUCACCCAUUCCCCAAUAAUAUUUUCCAGACCAAAAUUACUUCAGCCUGCAGAAAGCUUUUGGAUUCUGUCCUAACUAGCCAAAACUUAAACUACAAUUAGGAGUCUUGAAUCACUUGGAAAAAUAGGUACUCUUUGCUCUAUCUUUGGGUUCAUGUUACAGUAGGGAGUGAGUAUUCCAGACACUGCACAUUCAGAGUUCAGGGGCCUCAAGGGAGAGUGGGAA